UUAUUUCGCAAUCAUUGUUGACAUGGAGGAAAUGACAAUGUUAUGAUUGUGUAUAUUAUGAGAAGACAUUGGGAAUACCUUUUUAAAUCAUUAAAAUGGGAAACCUAAAUUACGCUUUUUGUCGCCGAAAGCAAGUACGGGUGUUUUUGUUUGGUUUGGACGCCGCGGGGAAAACAACCAUUCUUUAUCACUGUGUUCUGGGGAAAGUUGUUACUACAAUACCAUCGAUUGGGUUUAACGUUGAAACUUGUAAGGUCAACGAUUCAGAAGUGACGGUUUGGGACGUAAGUUUUCGAGGCAAAAUGAGACCCCUAUUGAGACACUACUACCCAAACACCCAGGGAAUUGUAUAUGCCGUUGACAGUACCGAUAGGGACAGAAUGACAGAGGCUAAAGAGUUUCUUCAUGACAUUUUGAGUGAAGACGAACUGAAUGGUGUACCAGUCGCCAUAGCUCUCAAUAAAAGAGAUCUGAAAAACUGUAUGACGAAAGAGGAAAUGGAGGAAGAGGUUGGAUGUGAGUGAAAUCCAGAAAAAUAGACCCUGUCGAGUAUUUCUGACCACGGUUUACCCGACAGAGGAGAUUCAGACGGAACUUAUGAACCUGUUCGAAUGGAUAAGUGAAGAGCCGACAGACGAAAGUCAAGAAUCUUCGAAGAAACAAAAAGAGGAUCCGUUCUCUUCCUACUUUUGGACACCUUUGAUGAAAAUGAAAAGCAUGAUGUUUGAAUGACAAGUUUUAAACGGUUAACAUUUUUACUUAUUGUGUAUGUAUAGUAUCAAACUCGGAACUAAC
rnacentral:sRNA from 1 species